rnacentral:rRNA from 1 species
CAUAUCACUCAGCGGAGGAAAAGAAACUAACAAGGAUUCCCUUAGUAACGGCGAGCGAAACGGGAUGAUGUCCAUCACCGAAUCGGCGUACGUUGGCGUGCGUCCGACAUGUGGUGUUACGAAGCGAGCGCUCGGUGUCUCGGUGUGGCCAAGUCCGCAUGAACGCGGCCCUUGCCAAAGAAGGUGCCAGUCCUGUACGGCUGCACCGGGAUGCUGUAUGCACGUUUCAUUGAGUUGGGUUGUUUGGGAAUGCAGCCCGAAGAAGCUGGUACACGGCAGCUAAGACUAAAUAUGCGUACGAGUCCGAUAGCGAACAAGUACCGUGAGGGACAGUUGAAAAGGACUUUGCAGAGAGAGUUCAACAGUACGUGAAACCGUUCAGAGGAAAACGGAUGAGAUCGUGAUGGCGCUUCGUGGUUCAGGGUCGCUUUGCUGCUUGAGCGGCGUGUUCAACCGAUCCGACUCGGACGGGGGCGCGUCGUGUCGAGUUGCGGGCGGCCUGUUUUCCGCGUGGUGCGCGUUGCAACCGGUGCACGCUUAACGGCGUGCCGUCGAUGGGUAGCUGUGGCGUGCCUUCUGGUGCGUGGCAGUGUCAAGUCGGCGGUUACGUGUUCGAGUGUGUACCGUGGAAGGCUGUACCGCGCCCGCUGCUCUUCGUGAGCGGCGUCGGUCGGCUGGUGCGCUUGGGCUCGGCUGUAUUGACUGUCUCUCGACAGUGGUUGCGGACGAGAACGAGUGCGCUGGUUGUAUUCGACGUGGGUGUGUAUGGUUGGCGACGUUUGUCGAUACCUCGUCCGACCCGUCUUGAAACACGGACCAAGGAGUCUAGCAUGUGCGCGAGUCAUUGGGUUCGUUUUCAGCGAGGAAAACCCAAAGGCGAAGUGAAAGUGAAUGCAGGUGUGAUCUGGUGGCGUUCUUGAGCGACACCGGCGCAACACCGGCCCGUUCGUAUCUCUCGUGGAUAGGGCGGAGCACGAGCGCACACGCUGGGACCCGAAAGAUGGUGAACUAUGGCUGGUCAGGACGAAGCCAGAGGAAACUCUGGUGGAAGUCCGUAGCGAUUCUGACGUGCAAAUCGAUCGUCAAAGCUGGCUAUAGGGGCGAAAGACUAAUCGAACCAUCUAGUAGCUGGUUCCCUCCGAAGUUUCCCUCAGGAUAGCUGGCGCUCAUGCGAAACACAGUUUCAUCCGGUAAAGCGAAUGAUUAGAGGCAUUGGGGACGAAACGACCUCAACCUAUUCUCAAACUUUCAAUGGGUGAGAAGUUCGACUCGCUUAAUUGGAGUCGGGCGUCGAAUGCGAGUGCCUAGUGGGCCAUUUUUGGUAAGCAGAAUUGGCGCUGUGGGAUGAACCAAACGCGCGGUUAAGGCGCCGAACGUUGACGCUCAUCGGAUACCAUAAAAGGUGUUGAUUGAUCCAGACAGCAGGUCGGUGGCCAUGGAAGUCGGAAUCCGCUAAGGAGUGUGUAACAACUCACCUGCCGAAUCAAUUAGCCCUGAAAAUGGAUGGCGCUAGAGCGUCGGGCCUAUACCGCGCCGUCGUCGCAUAAGCUAUGAGCAGCUGUGCUGCCAUGCGAUGACGAGUAGGAGGGUCGCGGCGGUAUGCAUUGAAGCCGUGAGCGUGAGCUCGGGUCGAGCUGCCGCCGGUGCAGAUCUUGGUGGUAGUAGCAAGUAUUCAAAAGAGAACUUUGAAGGCCGAAGUGGAGAAGGGUUCCAUGUGAACAGCAGUUGAACAUGGGUCAGUCGAUCCUAAGAGAAGGGAAAACUCCGUUCAGAAUUCGGGACAGUUGCUUCUUUGCGUGUCCGAACUGAAUCGAAAGGGAAUCGGGUUAAUAUUCCCGAACUCGGUAUGGAGAUUGCUCUUCGCGAGCAGGCGCGGUAACGCAAACAAACUCGGAGACGCUGGCAGCGGCCCCGGGAAGAGAUGCCUUUUCUUUGUAAGGGUCAGACUCCAUGGAAUCGGUUCGCCCGGCGAUAUGGACGUUGUACCCGUAAAGCACUGCGGUUCCUGCAGUGUCCGGUGCGCUGCUGCUGGCCCGUGAAAAUCCGAGGGAGUCGUAAUAAUUUCGUACCGAAUCGUACCCAUAUCCGCAUCAGGUCUCCAAGGUCAAGAGCCUCUGGCCAACCGAAUAAUGCAGGCAAGGGAAGUCGGCAAAUUAGAUCCGUAACUUCGGGAAAAGGAUUGGCUCUAAGGGCUGGGCCUGUCGGGCUGUGGCAUGAAGCGGGAUUCGGUGCGGUGUGGGUCUGAUUUUCGGCCGGCGCGCGUUCGUGUCGCGUGCUUCGGUGCGUGGUAUGUACGUGCGCUGGCUGUCGAUCGGACCGUAACCGCAACGAGCUCGUGAACUGCUGCAGCUGCCGGUUUCGUUGCCGUUCGCGCGGUGGCGGAAUCCUCGGCAGGCGUUUAACAGCCAACUUAG